rnacentral:rRNA from 1 species
CCCGCAACGAGCGCAAUCCUUAUCCUUUGUUGCCAGCGGGUCAGGCCGGGAAUUCAAAGGAACCGGCCCUUGAUAACUUGAAGAAGGUUGGGUUGAACUCCAAGCCUCCUGGGCCUUUACGAUAAGGGUUAACCCCGGGUUACAUGGGGCCAAACAAAAAAAGGCAACCCCGCAAAACCAAGCGAACUUCAUAAAUUGCGCCUUAUUCGGGAUUGAAUUCGGCAACUCACCCCCUUAAAUUCGAAUUCCCUGUUAUUCUUAAAUAAAAAUGCUCCGUUAAAACCUU